rnacentral:rRNA from 1 species
GCACAAUGGGCGCAAGCCUGAUGCAGCCAUGCCGCGUGUGUGAAGAAGGCCUUCGGGUUGUAAAGCACUUUCAGUCGUGAGGAAGGUAGUGUAGUUAAUAGCUGCAUUAUUUGACGUUAGCGACAGAAGAAGCACCGGCUAACUCCGUGCCAGCAGCCGCGGUAAUACGGAGGGUGCGAGCGUUAAUCGGAAUUACUGGGCGUAAAGCGCAUGCAGGUGGUUUGUUAAGUCAGAUGUGAAAGCCCGGGGCUCAACCUCGGAAUAGCAUUUGAAACUGGCAGACUAGAGUACUGUAGAGGGGGGUAGAAUUUCAGGUGUAGCGGUGAAAUGCGUAGAGAUCUGAAGGAAUACCGGUGGCGAAGGCGGCCCCCUGGACAGAUACUGACACUCAGAUGCGAAAGCGUGGGGAGCAAACAGGAUUAGAUACCCUGGUAGUCCACGCCGUAAACGAUGUCUACUUGGAGGUUGUGGCCUUGAGCCGUGGCUUUCGGAGCUAACGCGUUAAGUAGACCGCCUGGGGAGUACGGUCGCAAGAUUAAAACUCAAAUGAAUUGACGGGGGCCCGCACAAGCGGUGGAGCAUGUGGUUUAAUUCGAUGCAACGCGAAGAACCUUACCUACUCUUGACAUCCAGAGAACUUUCCAGAGAUGGAUUGGUGCCUUCGGGAACUCUGAGACAGGUGCUGCAUGGCUGUCGUCAGCUCGUGUUGUGAAAUGUUGGGUUAAGUCCCGCAACGAGCGCAACCCUUAUCCUUGUUUGCCAGCGAGUAAUGUCGGGAACUCCAGGGAGACUGCCGGUGAUAAACCGGAGGAAGGUGGGGACGACGUCAAGUCAUCAUGGCCCUUACGAGUAGGGCUACACACGUGCUACAAUGGCGCAUACAGAGGGCGGCCAACUUGCGAAAGUGAGCGAAUCCCAAAAAGUGCGUCGUAGUCCGGAUUGGAGUCUGCAACUCGACUCCAUGAAGUCGGAAUCGCUAGUAAUCGUGGAUCAGAAUGCCACGGUG